CACUGCGCUUGCCAAGUUGCUCGUAGCCCUGCUGAUCACUAGCACUGUUUCUCUCUCGGCCACACUUCCUGUGUUUUCCGUCCUUGGGCGCUGAGGCGAGAACGGGGAGGGGGAAACCGGUAGCGUAGCUCAUAAAAAAAACAGGCGCACGACCCGGCUAGCUCGCUCCAGCGCUGAGUGCAGCACCGCCUUCCACCACACUUUCACUGAUUGGCUUCUCGGCUUUUUCUGUUCCAACUGCGGUUGUGACCGUCACCGCCGCGAUGGCGACCCCGCGUCAUGGCGAAUUGAAUUCCAUAUGUAGUCCGUCGUCGUCAGAAAAAAGUCCCCGUGACUGCGGGCAGUCAAGCGAGCGUCUCAUCGACCUCCUCACCCGCCCGUGCGAGCAAGGCGGCUACGGCGGCCGCCUCAACUACACAGGGUUCGCCACCUUGGCCGCAUCCCUGGGCUGGAAUCAGGAAGAUAUGGACGACUGCUGGUACGACAUCGUCAUGGGUGAGCCGUGCGCCGAGGCAGUCGACAUGAAGCGCGUCGCUGAGUGCGUGUGCAGCUACUGCCUUGCAUCUCCUCUUCCGAUUCUGGAGCACAGCACUCUUGCCAAAUCGAGUCCGUCGGAACCGGCAACACCCCCGCGUCUGCCGCACGCCUCCAGAGAGAGAAGCACAACAGUUCUGCUAUCUCCUCCGACGCCGCGGUCCCGCAGGGCCAAAUCCGUGGCGUCCACAGCGCCAAAGACAGGGGACAAGGAGCGCACGACAGCCGCCGCAGCCUCACUACCACCGGUUUCCGCGCGGAGCAGGCGCACAGUGCCGAGCGUCUUCCACCGAUACGCGGUGGAAACGGUGUCGAGCGAGCAAAAGAAGGCCUCGCUGUCGCCCCAACGCGGGCCUCACAGACCACAUAGCGGACGGACUACUACAGCCUCGUCACGACAAACGUCGCCAGUGCUAGCGCUGUCGCAGACUUCCGGCCCUCCAGACGGUAGCGUGUUCUCCCGCUUGUACGAAAAGGGGAUGGAGCAACAUCGGAAGCGCAUAGCCGUGAAGCCGGUCGACAGCGACAUGGCGGAGUGCACCUUCCAGCCGCACAUCACCCCGUACACGCCGAAGGCAUCGGAUACGGCGACCGCUCAGUACAAUAAGCCGACGGAGUCCUACUUCGCAAAGCUGACGGCACCGCACACUCCGCCAGACGCCGUCGGUACCUCCCCGGAAACGCCACGGGUGACGUACCAUCCAGCCCCAGGACCAUCGUCCGACGUCCCGCCAGGCUACGUCGAGGGUGUGGCUCGCCUCCGCAGUUACAUCGCCUCUCGCUACGCGCACGCAACCUUUGAGGGCACCCUGCGAGGAAGCUCUUCAGCCAACGUCGCACGUCUGGUGGAGGCACCGAUACUGCGGCUGCCGGUCACUGUCGGAGGGGUGACGGACGCCGUCGACGUGCGACUCGCCUCUCCCGACACGCGUGCCUCUCUUGGGCGAGAGUGUAGUGUGGGCCUGGGGAGUCCCUGCUGCCGGCGGCGGAGUGAAGCUCGUCACGUAUCGUUCCCCUCGCCGUCGAGGAUGCGAUUUCGGUCGUAAAUGCAGUACCGCAAGGACCCUGUUUCAGGUGAGAGGCCCUGGUGGUGCCCGUUCGUUGGUGUUUCCUUGUGCGUGCCUUUUUCCGUCUUUUUGUUACUCUCCUUAGAUUUCGGUUUGUUACCCGGAACGCGGGGGCACCGGCUACAGUUUUUUGCGCUCCUGUUUUCUGCACUGCAGCCCCUACUGUUGCUCUCCAUCCGCUUAGAUGACCGUUGCUGUUUAGCGGCUUGUUUGCGAUACAAUCGCGUCCAACAAAACAGAUCUCCCACUUCCACAGUCGCUCACGCGGAACGGGAAACUUGAGAGAGGCACAGCUGCCGUAAAAAAAAAAACUGGAGGGCUCCUUUAUCCCCUCUCCAUCACCACUAUGUAGCGGCAGGGUGUUGAUCUGUUUGUCCCCCCCCCCCUGCUGUAUGCUCAUCAUCAUCUCUUACGGAGCGGGGGAUCUUCGCUUCUCGUUGCACUCACCGCACCUGUGCGCUUCACGCUUUGGGCUCUCACCCUGUGCACUCUUCACUUUGACCACCUGUGGAGCAACUCAUCGCCACUGCACAACCGACACGAAAAG
rnacentral:misc_RNA from 1 species